rnacentral:rRNA from 1 species
UACGAAGGGGGCUAGCGUUGCUCGGAAUCACUGGGCGUAAAGCGCACGUAGGCGGCUUUCUAAGUCAGGGGUGAAAUCCUGGAGCUCAACUCCAGAACUGCCUUUGAUACUGGAGAGCUUGAGUCCGGAAGAGGUGAGUGGAACUCCGAGUGUAGAGGUGGAAUGCGCAGAUAUCAGGAAGAACACCAACGGCGAAGGCAGCUCGCUGGGACGGUACUGACGCUGAGACGCGAAAGCGUGGGGAGCGAACAGG